UACGGAGGGGGCUAGCGUUGUUCGGAAUUACUGGGCGUAAAGCGCACGUAGGUGGCUUUGUAAGUUAGAGGUGAAAGCCCGGAGCUCAACUCCGGAAUUGCCUUUAAGACUGCAUCGCUAGAACGUCGGAGAGGUGAGUGGAAUUCCGAGUGUAGAGGUGAAAUUCGUAGAUAUUCGGAAGAACACCAGUGGCGAAGGCGACUCACUGGACGACUGUUGACACUGAGGUGCGAAAGCGUGGGGAGCAAACAGGAUUAGAAACCCCAGUAGUCC
rnacentral:rRNA from 1 species